rnacentral:misc_RNA from 1 species
UAUCCGUAGGUGAACCUGCGGAAGGAUCAUUAUUGAAUUGAAUAUGUUAGCGGACUUACUCGGAGCCCUUAGCAUCAAAUCAUACCAAUCACACCUCUCAACUCUAAGUCUCUCUUGAAGACGAAAUAGAUUAGCACACCUGCCCAUUUUAUAGAAAAAUUAAAGUAACAUACUUAGUCUUAUUAUAAUCUAAUAAAACUUUCAACAACGGAUCUCUUGGCUCUC